GAUGAACGCUAGCGGCAGGCUUAACACAUGCAAGUCGAGGGGUAUAGGUUUUCGGACCUAGAGACCGGCGCACGGGUGCGUAACGCGUAUGCAAUCUACCUUUCACAGAGGGAUAGCCCAGAGAAAUUUGGAUUAAUACCUCAUAGUAUAGCAGUUUCGCAUGAAACCUCUAUUAAAGUUCCAACGGUGAAAGAUGAGCAUGCGUCCCAUUAGCUAGAUGGUAAGGUAACGGCUUACCAUGGCUACGAUGGGUAGGGGUCCUGAGAGGGGGAUCCCCCACACGGGUACUGAGAACCGGACCAGACUCCUACGGGAGGCAGCAGUGAGGAAUAUUGGUCAAUGGACGCAAGUCUGAACCAGCCAUGCCGCGUGCAGGAUGACGGUCCUAUGGAUUGUAAACUGCUUUUGUACGAGAAGAAACAACAUUACGUGUAAUGUCUUGACGGUAUCGUAAGAAUAAGGAUCGGCUAACUCCGUGCCAGCAGCCGCCGUAAAAC
rnacentral:rRNA from 1 species